UACGAAGGGGGCUAGCGUUGCUCGGAAUCACUGGGCGUAAAGGGUGCGUAGGCGGGGCUUUAAGUCAGAUGUGAAAUCCUGGAGCUCAACUCCAGAACUGCCUUUGAUACUGAGGAUCUUGAGUUCGGGAGAGGUGAGUGGAACUGCGAGUGUAGAGGUGAAAUUCGUAGAUAUUCGCAAGAACACCAGUGGCGAAGGCGGCUCACUGGCCCGAUACUGACGCUGAGGCACGAAAGCGUGGGGAGCAAACAGG
rnacentral:rRNA from 1 species